GACGAACGCUGGCGGCGUGCCUAACACAUGCAAGUCGAACGGGGUAAUUUCUUCGGAGAUUACUUAGUGGCGAACGGGUGAGUAACGCGUGAGAAACCUGCCUUUCAGUGGGGGACAACAGUUGGAAACGACUGCUAAUACCGCAUAAUGUCAUUUAGGGGCAUCCCUGAAUGACCAAAGAUUUAUUGCUGAAAGAUGGUCUCGCGUCUGAUUAGCUAGUUGGUGAGGUAACGGCUCACCAAGGCGACGAUCAGUAGCCGGUCUGAGAGGAUGAACGGCCACAUUGGGACUGAGAUACGGCCCAGACUCCUACGGGAGGCAGCAGUGGGGAAUAUUGGGCAAUGGGGGAAACCCUGAACCAGCAACGCCGCGUGAAGGGAGAAGGCCUUCGGGUUGUAAACUUCUUUUACCAGGGACGAACAAAUGACGGUACCUGGAGAAAAAGCAACGGCUAACUACGUGCCAGCCGCCGCGGUAACAC
rnacentral:rRNA from 1 species